UACGUAGGGUGCAAGCGUUGUCCGGAAUUAUUGGGCGUAAAGAGCUCGUAGGCGGUUUGUCGCGUCUGCUGUGAAAACCCGAGGCUCAACCUCGGGCCUGCAGUGGGUACGGGCAGACUAGAGUGCGGUAGGGGAGAUUGGAAUUCCUGGUGUAGCGGUGGAAUGCGCAGAUAUCAGGAGGAACACCGAUGGCGAAGGCAGUUCUCUGGGCCGUAACUGACGCUGAGGAGCGAAAGCGUGGGGAGCGAACGGG
rnacentral:rRNA from 1 species